UUGACCUCGGAUCAGGUAGGAGUACCCGCUGAACUUA
rnacentral:rRNA from 8 species